GAUGAAGAACGUAGUGAAAUGCGAUAAGUAAUGUGAAUUGCAGAAUUCAGUGAAUCAUCGAAUCUUUGAACGCACAUUGCGCCCCCUGGUAUUCCGGGGGGCAUGCCUGUCCGAGCGUCAUUACAACCCUCAAGCUCAGCUUGGUGUUGGGCCCCGCCGCCCCGGCGGGCCCUAAAGUCAGUGGCGGUGCCGUCCGGCUCCGAGCGUAGUAAUUCUUCUCGCUCUGGAGGCCCGGUCGUGUGCUCGCCAGCAACCCCCAAUUUUUUUUAGGUUGACCUCGGAUCAGGUAGGGAUACCCGCUGAACUUAAGCAUAUCAAUAAGCGGAGGA
rnacentral:misc_RNA from 1 species